rnacentral:rRNA from 1 species
UCCUGGCUCAGAGCGAACGCUGGCGGCAGGCCUAACACAUGCAAGUCGAACGGAUCCUUCGGGAUUAGUGGCGGACGGGUGAGUAACACGUGGGAACGUGCCCUUUGGUUCGGAACAACUCAGGGAAACUUGAGCUAAUACCGGAUGUGCCCUUCGGGGGAAAGAUUUAUCGCCAUUGGAGCGGCCCGCGUCUGAUUAGCUAGUUGGUGAGGUAAAGGCUCACCAAGGCGACGAUCAGUAGCUGGUCUGAGAGGAUGAUCAGCCACAUUGGGACUGAGACACGGCCCAAACUCCUACGGGAGGCAGCAGUGGGGAAUCUUGCGCAAUGGGCGAAAGCCUGACGCAGCCAUGCCGCGUGAAUGAUGAAGGUCUUAGGAUUGUAAAAUUCUUUCACCGGGGACGAUAAUGACGGUACCCGGAGAAGAAGCCCCGGCUAACUUCGUGCCAGCAGCCGCGGUAAUACGAAGGGGGCUAGCGUUGCUCGGAAUUACUGGGCGUAAAGGGAGCGUAGGCGGACUGUUUAGUCAGAGGUGAAAGCCCAGGGCUCAACCUUGGAAUUGCCUUUGAUACUGGCAGUCUUGAGUACGGAAGAGGUAUGUGGAACUCCGAGUGUAGAGGUGAAAUUCGUAGAUAUUCGGAAGAACACCAGUGGCGAAGGCGACAUACUGGUCCGUUACUGACGCUGAGGCUCGAAAGCGUGGGGAGCAAACAGGAUUAGAUACCCUGGUAGUCCACGCCGUAAACGAUGAGUGCUAGUUGUCGGCAUGCAUGCAUGUCGGUGACGCAGCUAACG